AGCGAACGCUGGCGGCAGGCCUAACACAUGCAAGUCGAACGAACCUUUCGGGGUUAGUGGCGGACGGGUGAGUAACACGUGGGAACGUGCCUUUAGGUUCGGAAUAACUCAGGGAAACUUGUGCUAAUACCGAAUGUGCCCUUCGGGGGAAAGAUUAAUCGCCUUUAGAGCGGCCCGCGUCUGAUUAGCUAGUUGGUUGAGGUAAUGGCUCACCAAGGCGACGAUCAGUAGCUGGUCUGAGAGGAUGAUCAGCCACAUUGGGACUGAGACACGGCCCAAACUCCGACGGGAGGCAGCAGUGGGGAAUCUUGCGCAAUGGGCGAAAGCCUGACGCAGCCAUGCCGCGUGAAUGAUGAAGGUCUUAGGAUUGUAAAAUUCUUUCACCGGGGACGAUAAUGACGGUACCCGGAGAAGAAGCCCCGGCUAACUUCGU
rnacentral:rRNA from 1 species